rnacentral:lncRNA from 1 species
CAUCCGAUUCGUUUGAAAUCGAACCGAGACUCUCCAAACAUGUUUUCGAGCAUGUUUUCUUCAUCUUUUCACCCACGCUAAUGCCAGAUUUAACUCAUGGCCCAACAUAGCCUUUCGGGUUCCGUUUCCACGCCUACGCGCACCAAAUCGCCCGAAUGCUCCCGAACUUCACCGAACUUCACCAGAACCUUUCAAAUGGCUCUCCAACCAAAUGUACACCGUAACUUCAUGAUUUUAGAAGUCCGGUACCUUACACCAAUACGCACCAAAAGCCAUCUCCACUCAUUGGCUUCUCCGAAAAAUCGGAGUUACUAUUCACUUUAAGUCAUUACUAAAGUUCGCAUAACUCCUCCGUCCUAACUCGUUUUCUCCUGAAACUUGAUGAGUGCUUGUGUAAUUAAAUUACACACAAAAAUAUCGUCAACAGAGAGUUUAGCUACACUGCGAAAAUCUCAGUCCUUACAUCAUUCCCCCCUUAAAAGAAGUUUCGUCCCCAAAACUUGACCACGUACCCAGCGUAAUCGAAUUCAGACAUUGCUCCACCAAUGCGGUAUCACCUUUGAGUACUGGUCAGUCACAAUUCCAUGAAUUUGGACAAUCUCCGACGAAGGGAAGGAUAGGACUGCGAUUACACUCGGACAAGACGAGGGAAAACAAACCGACCCAAAAACUACGGACCAAAACUCACCAGGAUCAACACCAUCCUAUAACCUGCGAACAAAAACAGUCCCACACCAGGAUUAUCCGAUCCCAAAUUGCCAAUUCUGAGAUAAUAAUUCACCACUCAGAAACUCUAGGUCCACUCAACCUUAGUCCGCGUAGCAGUAAUCGACUUGACUACUUCGAAAGUUUAUGUAGAAAAGUCGCGGAACAACACCACAAGUCUGGAGCAUAUUUUCAUAGGCCGAAAAGACACACUCCGACUAGCUAACAACAUCAACCUGCUCACCAUAAGCAAAAACGAAACGUUGUUCCAAAAACUGAGUCAGUAAUACUCACCACGGAGACCACAAUUUCCCACCAGUCUAAAACAUAAACAACCCAAGUCAAACUCUUAGUAUCGAAAACCUACCUACGGUAUUCGACACUCCUAAGUUCAAGACCUCAUCGUCCGCCUGGCCAAAAAGCCCAAGCCUGACAAUACCAAUUGAGCUGGACAAUUCGUUCGCUCAAUAUUUCAAUCAGACCAACGCAAGUUCCAUGCAAGUCCAUCACUUGAUGCAUAGGAUUACCAAUCGCACUAUGCGAUACUAACCAUCGGUGAUGCUCAACACCUGUCUCUACGAGACCCUGUCGCUGCCGUCCUACAAGGGACCCUAGCGAUCGAUAUUCCCAACCACACUCAAUUACCGGUCUCAUUAAGACCCAGACGCACCUAUCACCA